rnacentral:rRNA from 1 species
UACGUAGGUGGCAAGCGUUGUCCGGAUUUAUUGGGUUUAAAGGGUGCGUAGGCGGUCCAUUAAGUCAGCAGUGAAAUACGGCAGCUUAACUGUCGAGGUGCUGUUGAUACUGGUGGACUUGAGUACUGAUGAGGUAGGCGGAAUGGACGGUGUAGCGGUGAAAUGCUUAGAGAUCGUCCAGAACACCGAUAGCGAAGGCAGCUUACUAAAGAGUAACUGACGCUGAAGGCACGAAAGUGUGGGGAUCAAACAGG